rnacentral:rRNA from 1 species
AUGGGCGCAAGCCUGAUGCAGCGACGCCGCGUGAGGGAUGACGGCCUUCGGGUUGUAAACCUCUUUCAGUAGGGAAGAAGCGUAAGUGACGGUACCUGCAGAAGAAGCGCCGGCUAACUACGUGCCAGCAGCCGCGGUAAUACGUAGGGCGCAAGCGUUAUCCGGAAUUAUUGGGCGUAAAGAGCUCGUAGGCGGUUUGUCGCGUCUGCCGUGAAAGUCCGGGGCUCAACUCCGGAUCUGCGGUGGGUACGGGCAGACUAGAGUGAUGUAGGGGAGACUGGAAUUCCUGGUGUAGCGGUGAAAUGCGCAGAUAUCAGGAGGAACACCGAUGGCGAAGGCAGGUCUCUGGGCAUUAACUGACGCUGAGGAGCGAAAGCAUGGGGAGCGAACAGGAUUAGAUACCCUGGUAGUCCAUGCCGUAAACGUUGGGCACUAGGUGUGGGGGACAUUCCACGUUUUCCGCGCCGUAGCUAACGCAUUAAGUGCCCCGCCUGGGGAGUACGGCCGCAAGGCUAAAACUCAAAGGAAUUGACGGGGGCCCGCACAAGCGGCGGAGCAUGCGGAUUAAUUCGAUGCAACGCGAAGAACCUUACCAAGGCUUGACAUGGACCAGACCGGACUGGAAACAGUUCUUCCACUUGUGGCUGGUUUACAGGUGGUGCAUGGUUGUCGUCAGCUCGUGUCGUGAGAUGUUGGGUUAAGUCCCGCAACGAGCGCAACCCUCGUUCUAUGUUGCCAGCACGUGAUGGUGGGGACUCAUAGGAGACUGCCGGGGUCAACUCGGAGGAAGGUGGGGACGACGUCAAAUCAUCAUGCCCCUUAUGUCUUGGGCUUCACGCAUGCUACAAUGGCCGGUACAAAGGGUUGCGAUACUGUGAGGUGGAGCUAAUCCCAAAAAGCCGGUCUCAGUUCGGAUUGGGGUCUGCAACUCGACCCCAUGAAGUCGGAGUCGCUAGUAAUCGCAGAUCAGCAACGCUGCGGUGAAUACGUUCCCGGGCCUUGUACACACCGCCCGUCAAGUCACGAAAGUUGGUAACACCCGAAGCCG